rnacentral:rRNA from 1 species
UACAGAGGUCUCAAGCGUUGUUCGGAUUCAUUGGGCGUAAAGAGCGUGUAGGCGGCCAUGUAGGUCCGUUGUGAAAACUCGAGCUCAACCUCGAGACGCCGAUGAAAACCAUGUGGCUAGAGUCCGGAAGAGGAGAGUGGAAUUCCUGGUGUAGCGGUGAAAUGCGCAGAUAUCAGGAAGAACACCCGUGGCUAAGGCGGCUCUCUAGUACGGUACUGACGCUGAGACGCGAAAGCGUGGGGAGCGAACAGG